rnacentral:rRNA from 1 species
AUGGUAGAUCCCAUGCACUUUGAGAGCUCCAUGCCUCCAAAACCUAACCUUAUCAAUGAGGUGGUCAACUCUCAUGAACUGGUUAAACCUCUAGUUGAAGCUUUUACUGUGGAAGCUGCUCAAUUGGAGGCCACUCUACCUGUGCUACAAAACCAAGUUGCUCCUAUUAUCAGCAGGGAGGAUAUCAACCCAACUAUGCAAUCUCACCCCCCUGUUACCAAUCAGCACAAUGAUUAUUCAGCUCACAUGAUGCUUACUCAAUCAGAUCCCAUGAAUUAUGCUGAAGGGCAAGGUGAAUCCUCUUCUUCUGAUGUUUCUGCCCCUCCAGGUUUUCCUAUUCCUAUGUUUAAAUCUGAUCACUUGAUUAUCUCAGAGACAGGCCUACCCUCUCCCACUGUCCAUGAGAUUGCCAUUGGUACUGCUGAGAAGUACCUUGGAAAGGAAGGAGCUCAAAUAUGGUCCAAACAUUUUGCACCUACAGCUACCAGUAAGGACAUCAUUCAGGUACCAGUUGACUGGGUUAAUUUCCUGUCUGUUACUUUCCUUUCUCCUGGGAAGUACGAAUGGGCCAAACAGUUCAUUACUUCCAAAGUUUGGGAUAUUAUCUCUCAAAGCAAGAAGGAGGAGCUCUGUCUACCUUUUGCCUUGCCAAACUCAUGCCCUGACAGCUCUACUCUCUCUGGUAUCUUGGUAACUUCUCAGGAUCAGGAGAAUACACCUAGUGUGUUGUGUGGCUCACAGGAUAUCAUGUCAUCAUCCACCUCUGCUAUUCAUCACAACAGGAAGAGGAAGGACAAGGGGCCACUGGUGGAGACAGAGGUCAAUGCCCAAGAUACUACAGAAGAGAAGCUUACCACUAAGAUCAAGAAACCCAAGGUUGCUGCCAAGGCAAAGGAGGGACAAGCAAAUCCAAGGAGGGGGCCAACAUGUCCAAGGAAGGGACCAUUAGUGCGAAGAGCGGGCACUUUGGUUUCUAUGGAUCAGACUAAAUGUAUGAGAUUCCAGUAUGUUUGCAAGGCCCAUUCUGGUGGCACCACUUUACUUUGGUCUGAUAACUGGUGGGAUCAACCACUUCGAUCCAAAUUCCCUGAACUGCACUCUUAUACCAGGAAUGAAUAUGUUACCCUGAAGACUGCUAUGGAAGAACCAGACCUGUCUGAACUCUUCCACACUCCUCUGUCUGAACAAGCCUUCCAGCAAUAUACUCUGCUAAUCCAGCACCUACAACACCGACCACAAUCCAAUAACCCCGAUGAAUGGCAAGUACUGGGAGCCCCCAAAGGAUACUCUUCCAUCAAGAUGUAUCAUCAUAUGUGUGGACCCAGCUUGCACACUUGCUGCCGCGCCGAGCACCGGAAUAGUUCACGAGGCCACCGGGUGCAUCUCCGUGCCGUGCCGUGUCCCCGGCAAGAACGUGACCCGCGCAGGCGCAGCGAUGGAUCGAUCGGAGCCCGGCGGCCAGGCGGAGUAGCCUACUGUUGGGCCGCGCGGCUGUGGCCUCUGCCUGCGGCUUGUGUCGGGCGGUCGGAGAAGACGAGAAGUGCAUGCUUCGGCCGCCGACAGGGCGCCGCCGUUUGUGACACGCUUGUCCGGGCACUGUGGACUGAUGGUUUCGUUCUGCCGCCGUCUCUGUUCGCAGGGGACAUGCGGGCGGCUGCUGUUUCCCGAUCCAAAAGCCUGGGAGGUUUCCGUGUGCCGGUGCCGUUCCAUAAUUUCGUCGCGCUUUUACUCAUUUUUGCCCGUUCCGUAUCGCGCCACUGCAUAUGCAUGCUAGCCAAGGCCAAGCCACAGGCCUACAAUUAA